GCGGGUGUGGCGGAAUUGGCAGACGCGCUAGAUUUAGGAUCUAGUGGUGAAAACCGUGGGGGUUCAAGUCCCUUCACCCGCACCA
rnacentral:tRNA from 1 species